rnacentral:tmRNA from 1 species
GGGGCAGUAAAUGGUUUCGACAGCAAUUACUAAUUUAGACUGCAGGUAGUAGGCAUACUAUAAAUGCAACAAUUAAAAUUAAAUGACGAGAAUAACUCAGUCUCUUCUUUCGGAGCUUUCGCUCCUGUAGCUGCUUAAUUUAAAGCGAAUAAGAAGGCUUUUAUUCACUUUCUCUUAUAGGGUGUUUAAAGGUUCAUAGAUAUAAGAUAUAUAAAGUUGUUUGCUUUAGAUAACUUUACGAAUACUAAUAAAGCUCGUAUAAGAAUUUGGUGAGUUGGAUCCAAUUCUUAUAUUAAAUGAAUUCCAACUAAACCUGUAGACGUUUAGAGAUAGGAUUGUUUGGACAGGGGUUCAACUCCCCUCUGCUCCACCA